UCACAGCCUCUCACGCUCUGUUCUUCUCCCACACGCUCUGUUCUUCUCCCAUCUAUUCAAACCCUAAUUCCAUAGCGAACUAUCACAUCUCCCAUCUGCACUUCACCUUUUCAGUCGAUUAUAAUUUUUUGCGCGAUUUGAUGAAGAUUGCUGCUUCGCGGUGUUCAGGUAAGAGAUUUAUUGCGAUUUGAUGAAGAUUUCUGCUUCGUGGUGUUCUGGUAAGAGAUUUAUUACAAGGCAUUUUCCAAUCAUAGUUCUGAUAUAGAAGGUAAUGGUUUGUUUCUUCAAUUGUUACAUGAUGAUUCCACACAAGACCAAGCGUUUGACUGCUACACUAAAGUGGGACAGUCAAUUUACAACGAGUUGGUUCUAUUGUUCGGGAAAUUGGGGAAUCUUGUCUUCAUUGAUCUCCUAUAAAGGUUGGUAUGGAACUAGAAUGGAGGUUAUUUCGGAUGCAGUCAAUCAUGGCGGAUUUUGGUAGGGUUUCGAUGAUGUUGGCUCUGGGUAGUCUCAGUUAUCUUGGUGGAAAUGUUCGGUUUAAUUUGUGUUCUCAGUUCAGGAAGGAAUAUUACUGAUUUGCUUCUUUUUCCUUUUGUUGGAAUAAUUAGUCAAAAGUGCUUCAAUUUGUGUAUUUGCAUGUUGAACGGAAGGUGUGUUGAAAGGGUAAAAUGGAAUAAUAGUUUUUUUUCAUAAUCUUUGAGAUUGUUUAUUUACACUGUAUAUUUGUAUUCUUUGCCUCCUAAUUACACGUUCAAUGAGAUUUAUUUUGGGGGAUUUUUUUCACUUUGAUUUUUAGUUUAGGUUGGUGAUGCUCUAGCAGGUUCUUGAUUGCGACAAUGUGUGAAAUGUGAAUUAGCGAUUCAGGUAGAUUGUAGAAUUUAAGUCACGGCAUCGACCAACCAAUUGAGUCGAGUAUGAACCAAAAAGGUAACAAAGACGAAUAUGAUUUUUUUUCGUGAAAGUAUAUGGACGAUUAUGCAAAAUACUUUCAUUUGUUUAUUUAUGUUCAUAGAUGUCAAUAAAAUAUGCGCUAUAAUUUUGGUGGGUUUAACAAUCUGGGUUUCCAGCGUUCUUUAGAAGAAAUUUGCUAUUCUUUUUUUGAUUUUUUUUUAUAUUGCAUUUGUCUAUUUUUACUGUUUGAUUGCCAAAAUUCCUUUUGAAUCUUCUACUUAGGGGAUGUUUAGGAUUUUCCUUUUUUUAGUCACUAUUCAUAAAAUUUGAAUUUGUAUCUUAGAGAGCAUUUUUGAAAGUGAUUUGGUGGAACGUUUUAGUAUGGAUCAAACUCCCCAUUCUAACUUCAUUUGAAUCUAUGGCUGACACGAUUGAAAUUGGGUGGAGACAAGAGGUGUUGGAGGGUACAAUGGGCUUUGAUAGUACUAUGGAGUUCAUGAUUUUAGUCAAUAUAAAUUGAAAAAGAGAAAGUGACUGUGGAAGUGGUGGCUGUUGCGGAGGAGGAAGAAGCGGUACUUGAAGUAGUUUUUCAAGUGUAGGAGCCAUCACAGCUGGUUGUUGAGCUCAAUGCCUAAAUUUAGGAAGCCCCAAAGACGCGAUAUGCUUCUAUUGGUGUGCUCUGUCAGAUGUACAGUUGACAGCUGUAAACUGUCACUUGGACGAGUGCAUGUACCGGUAUGUUAUUUUAAUCAUUUGACAAGAUUUUAGGUUUUUGCUUUGUGAUGAUUUUUUUUUUAAAUUUUCUUACGAUGUAUGUAGUGAUUGCUGGUAUUGAAUUAAAGUUUAGAUGCUUUGUAAAUAAACGUUCAUAGCAAUCCUUGAAAAUAUGAGGGACUUUAUGUCACAUUUAAUAAUUUGAAUGCUGAGAAUCAUUUGUUUUUAUAAAGAGCUUGCUAAAUCUGAUUUAUUUAUCUAUAAAGAGCUUUACGAGAUGGAGGGGAUUAACUACUAUCACUUACGAAGAACUCAUGUCAUCUUUGACGAUAAAUGCUUUUACUUCUUAGACUUUCUAUGACUUAGGCCUUUUUGUCAAGAAGGUCGUACUCCCCGUAAGAGUGAUGACUGGCCAAGAAAAAUAAAUCUAAGGUUAUGGGUUUUGUCAAGAAUCAAAAGUUUUGAAUUCAAAUGGUGGGAAUGUUGUCUCUGUUAACAAAUCAUCUGGUAGGAAUGUUGAUUUCAGUGUUUGAGUUUGAGAUGAGUGGGAUAAUGAUGGGUACACAGAAAGUAUGCAUCUAAUAAUGGAGAUAGAUGGAGAGGUUGGGCUGAUGAUAAAGAUGAUGAAAAUAGUUUUGGCCAAACACCAUCUAAUGGUAAAACCUUUAAUAAAACUAGGGAAUCAAAUGAGUAAGAAGUCUUUAAUGCACUUUAAUCAAAUUUUGGAUCUUACAAAUUAACAGUUUAACAUCAAUAUUUUCAUUAAUUUAACAGGGCGUUUGGAUACGAUCUCUCACCUUCGGCAGGUUCUUUCUUCUCAUUUUUUUAUCAUUUGCCAUUUUUUUUACCGGUACUAACUUUCUUCAUUGUUUUAUAUUGAUUUUGAAGACUUGGGCAUUUUGGAGAACUUUUAGUUCUUCAAACAGCCUUCUUUGCAGUUAGAAAUGCUUUGAUAUAAACAAUGUGUCUUUAAUAGAAGUUGCUCAUCAGAAUUGUUAGUUAUGCAAGCAGAGCUCUAAAGAAACAAAGAAGGGCCCACAUCUUUUGACGAAAUUUGAUGUUGUCAGGGGCAUAAUGAUACGAACGUUGGCAGAUGCUUCGAAAGAACAAAGAUCGCUUGCACCGGUUCAGAUCAUGUUCACGGUUUGUGGGUUUGUUAUAACGAUCGUUAGUACAAUCAUAGUCACGGUUUAUGCAAAGACACGGCUCAGUGAGUUGCAGGCAAACGAUGAACAACUGAUGUUGUUACAGUGACAUUAAAGUUAUCUACUUCAGGUGGUCUUAGGAUGUUCAUAUGGUGCUGGAUGGCUGGUGAGGUUGGUGUGACUGGCAUGGCAAAACAAUAGUUGAGAUUAUAAAAUUACGGAGGCAGGGGUAUUUUGGGAAUACUGUAAAGGUGAUGAUUAGAAGGUUUUAGGGUCCAAAUAUAUGGUCUGAUGUUGUUAAGGAACAGGUUAUGAAUUUUCUGAAGUCCAUGAGAUUAGGCUCUGUUUGUCUAAAGAUUUAUGUUUGGAAGGGGCAUUCUGGGAAUAUUGAAAAGCCUAAUAGCAUAUGGCAGUUACAGGAGUUCAAUAGAGGCUUUGCAUCUUCCUACAAUGGCAUGAUAACAUGGAUGAGUUGGAAAUAAAGAAAAUGGAAAAAGCAUAAGAAGCCCACAUAGAUGAGCUGGAAAUAAAGAAAAUGGAAAAGGCACAAGAAGCCUACAAGGCUGCCAUUGCAACUACAAAAGAGAAGCAAGAUGACGAGUUGAUCCCAAUAGCUACCAAUCUCCGGUUGCAUCUGCAAUAUUUUGUUUUAAAAAGUUGGCUGGUCUGAAUUUCAAUAGGACAUCAAAUCAUUCAAUGUUGGGCUAGCCCACUUGGUAGCCACUUUAUGACACAGAGUACGGAAUCUUAAAAUAUGUUAAUAUUUAUGUUAUUUAGUUUUUUAGGCAAGUAUAAUGUUUGGUA